AUCCGUGUAGCUCAGUGGAAGAGCGGCACCCUCCGAAGGUGCAGGUCGGUGGUUCGACUCCACUCACGGAUACGA
rnacentral:tRNA from 1 species